rnacentral:rRNA from 1 species
AACGUAGGAGGCAAGCGUUAUCCGGAGUUACUGGGCGUAAAGCGCAUGUAGGCGGUUGGGUAAGUGGCGUGUGAAAGCUCCCGGCUAAACUGGGAGAGGACAGGUCAGACUGCCGAACUGGAGUCCGAUAGAGGAGCGUAGAAUUCCGGGUGUAGCGGUGAAAUGUGUAGAGAUCCGGAGGAAUACCAGUGGCGCAAGCGGCGCUCUGGGUCGGGACUGACGCUGAGAUGCGAAAGCGUGGGGAGCGAACGGG